rnacentral:rRNA from 1 species
UAAAGCGUGCGCAGGCGGUUAUAUAAGACAGAUGUGAAAUCCCCGGGCUCAACCUGGGAACUGCAUUUGUGACUGUAUAGCUGGAGUGCGGCAGAGGGGGAUGGAAUUCCGCGUGUAGCAGUGAAAUGCGUAGAUAUGCGGAGGAACACCGAUGGCGAAGGCAAUCCCCUGGGCCUGCACUGACGCUCAUGCACGAAAGCGUGGGGAGCAAACAGGAUUAGAACCCCGGU